AGGCCCAAAAUUUGUGUUCCUAGUUCUCCUCCUAUUAAAGGCAAUCGACCUAGAACUAGGGUUUCUUCAAUAUCAAUUCUCAUCCGCCUCUCUAAUCGAAAUCGAAACUUCAAAGAAGAAUAUACAAGUUUGAUCUCUCUGAAACAUCAUCAUGAGGGCUAAGUGGAAGAAGAAGCGUAUGAGGAGAUUGAAGAGGAAGCGCCGAAAGAUGAGACAACGAUCCAAGUAGUUCUCUUCCAUCAUCGGCUUCAACUACCCAUCUUAGCGUUUAUUUCUUUUCAUCUAUCCUUUCGCUCUCGCUCUCGCCUUCUCUGUCAGUAAUAGAUAGAUUAUUGCGUUUAUUACUUGAGCAAGACUUUUGAUUUCUUUCUUGUUUUGAAACAAUAUCUAUUUAUGUCAGACCAGUUUAUUUUGCUGUUAAUCAAAUCUCUGUUUUAUUGAGACAUAA